AGACAGACCAGACCAGCUCAACCACACAGACACUUCCUACCCGAUUUGAGGACAAAAGCAGAGUAUGCAAUUUGUGGGACAAACACACACACACACUCACAGAUCAGGGGAAAGAGACAGAAGAAAUGGCAAAAGUGAGAAUAUCUCACACAAACACACAACAGAGGGGGAAGAGGUAGAGAAAAUGCCAAAUAUGAGAUCAUGCUAAGCAGCUUGAACUGAAAGUGACUGGGAAUAUUUACAUUUGAUCAACCACCCAUCCAUUCUCUGCUCAUUUUCUUUUACAGAGUCUCAGGGGAGCUCGAGCCUAUCCCAGCUAUCUUAGGGCGAGAGGCAGGGUACACUCUCGACUGGUCACCAGUCUGUUGCAGGGCUAACACAUAGACACAGAAAACCAUUCACACCUAUGGGCAAUUUAGAUUAUCCAAUUAGGCUAUUGCCACUAACUGCAGGUCGUUGGACUGUGGCAGGGAGCCGGAGUACAAGGAGAGAACCCACGCAAAACCGGGGAGAACAUGCCAACUCCACACAGAACGAUGGUAGAGCUGAACUCAGGACCUUCUUCCGGUUGGGUAACGGUGCUAACCAGUGUGCUGCCCUGGUAAGAGGAGAGCCACUGAGGGAACGCCUUCCGCCCUCCGACGCCUCCACCGUGACCUCCACUUCUGAGAGGAAUUGCCUACAGAUCAAGUAUGGAGUGUGCCUGAAUGGACAUACAGAACUCCAAGGUUCGGCCCUGCGUUGAGGGUUUUCCCAAAGGAGAGGGCCCGGCGGGCGGUGCCUCACGGCCCUCCGCCUGUGGGAGUGGCCCUUUCUACUAAGGAGGCAAGAGGUGGCCAGGAGUCUGUCAGCGAGUUCUGCAUGUCCUGGUGACCCUCCACCUGUUUCACAGAGUCUCAGGGGAGCUCGAGCCUAUCCCAGCUAUCUUAGGGCGAGAGGCAGGGUACACUCUCGACUGGUCACCAGUCUGUUGCAGGGCUAACACAUAGACACAGAAAACCAUUCACACCUAUGGGCAAUUUAGAUUAUCCAAUUAGGCUAUUGCCACUAACUGCAGGUCGUUGGACUGUGGCAGGGAGCCGGAGUACAAGGAGAGAACCCACGCAAAACCGGGGAGAACAUGCCAACUCCACACAGAACGAUGGUAGAGCUGAACUCAGGACCUUCUUCCGGUUGGGUAACGGUGCUAACCAGUGUGCUGCCCUGGUAAGAGGAGAGCCACUGAGGGAACGCCUUCCGCCCUCCGACGCCUCCACCGUGACCUCCACUUCUGAGAGGAAUUGCCUACAGAUCAAGUAUGGAGUGUGCCUGAAUGGACAUACAGAACUCCAAGGUUCGGCCCUGCGUUGAGGGUUUUCCCAAAGGAGAGGGCCCGGCGGGCGGUGCCUCACGGCCCUCCGCCUGUGGGAGUGGCCCUUUCUACUAAGGAGGCAAGAGGUGGCCAGGAGUCUGUCAGCGAGUUCUGCAUGUCCUGGUGACCCUCCACCUGUUUCACAGGUCGUUGGACUGUGGCAGGGAGCCGGAGUACAAGGAGAGAACCCACGCAAAACCGGGGAGAACAUGCCAACUCCACACAGAACGAUGGUAGAGCUGAACUCAGGACCUUCUUCCGGUUGGGUAACGGUGCUAACCUCUGUGCUGCCCUGGUGUGAGUAACCGUCUCCCAGAAAUUUGAACAAGUUCAAUUACUUUCUUUUCAAGCUGCUUACACUACAUUGACUUAUGUUUUUACACAAUCUCAGAAGAGGAGAGCCACUGAGGGAACGCCUUCCGCCCACCGACGCCUCCACCGUGACCUCCACUUCUGAGAGGAAUUGCCUACAGAUCAAGUAUGGAGUGUGCCUGAAUGGACAUACAGAACUCCAAGGUUCGGCCCUGCGUUGAGGGUUUUCCCAAAGGAGAGGGCCCGGCGGGCGGUGCCUCACGGCCCUCCGCCUGUGGGAGUGGCCCUUUCUACUAAGGAGGCAAGAGGUGGCCAGGAGUCUGUCAGCGAGUUCUGCAUGUCCUGGUGACCCUCCACCUGUUUCACAGAGUCUCAGGGGAGCUCGAGCCUAUCCCAGCUAUCUUAGGGCGAGAGGCAGGGUAC